UGUGAUACUCCCAUCUUCACUAUAUGCAUGUUGUGAUACUCCCAUCUGCACAUUCAUGUUUCAGCAAAGGAAUCAUAAGCUGCACACUUUCAGUAGUGUAGAAUUUACAUAGUAUUCAGCGGCAUGCAAAUUCACCUUUAGUGCUUCAAACAAUUUAGUUCUCUAGAUAACGUGUUCUACCAAUUAUGUAAUCUUACCAAAUGGAUGGUCAUCCAGCUUUACUCAUACAUGGGAUCAUAUUUGUAUCUGAUUUGUAUAAUGAGUCUUUGCAUAGGGAUAAGUUAGGGAAGCUAGUGUAAGCAUUAGACUCUAGCAGUAUUGAAACAGUUCCAGGAAAUAAAAAACUGCUACCGGUUUUCAGAAUAGAUGCUCACAUGAAUCAUUGGUUAAUCUUGAAUGAACCUUUAGCUCAGAGAAGUCCAAAAACAUUGUGCACCACCAUGGCACCAUCAACAGCAACAACUUGUAGCUAUGAUUUCAGAAUAGAUGCUCCAGGUCCUUAUAGCAUAGAUCCUGUCAAUAAAUUUCACAAGGGAGCGUAAUUUUAAAUUUGACAAACAGUUUAAAAAGUUUACUAAAAUGUUGCAUCACAUGGAUAAAUAGCAUACAGAUAAUGUUGCAUCACUAUUGAGGACAGAUGGCAAGAUCUUUUGCACAAAAUUUAACAGUGAAAUACAAGUGCAAGAUCUUCUCUCGUUUAUUACUACUACACAAGCCGGACAGGAUCAGUUGGCUGCCUAGCUCUAUUGAUUUCAGGAGGCGGCAGGAGCAGCAUGCACAAGGUUUUUGGUCAAGGCACAAGGUAGAAUCCCAUAGGCCAAAACUAAUACGCCCGCUAGAAUCCCGAGCAGGCACAAGGUAGAACAAACAAAGUUGGGGUUUGGUCCAAGGCACCAGAACCUAGCUUGCCCCGUGAGCGCGACCCAACAGUGGUUAAUCGGCUAGCUGC
rnacentral:lncRNA from 1 species